GAUAGACCUGGAGAGCAUUUUCAAAAAAUCCUAAUUAACAGGGACGAACUAUCAUCUAAUGGGGCGAAUUGGUACCUUCUGAAACAUAAGUCAUGGUUUCUCUUCCCUUUCUCAAUUUAACCCUUGCUAAAAUUUUACAGAGCAUGCUGAAAGAAGUUUGGUCAAUUAUGUCUUUGUAACCCUCUAAAGACGGCUUGAAAGUGCUAUUUGUUUGGAAAAAAAUGUAGUAUAAUCACGAAUUUAGAUUGCUAAUCAGACAAAACACAACACCUUUGACUGAAGUGAAGGGGCUCCUGUUGGGAUCAUGGAAAUUAUGUUGGUGUUAUUGAAGGAGAACACUAUUGAGACAAAUACAAAGAACAAGAUUACAGAAGCUGAAAUACUACCACCUUAAAGAAAGAGGGCACUUGAUAAAGUACCAGGGAAGCGUUACAGGGUGAAGGUUGUUGAAACAAUCCUUGAUUUAGAUGUAACCAAGAAUAAAGAAACUAUAACCAAUAUUACAAGUUUUUACAACUUUAGAUUUGAGAGCAGUCAUUUGAGGAUGUGGCAAACAUACAAUAUUGAUGAAGGAAAGCUUGUGACUUUAAAAUCAACAAAGAAUUCUGUGCAGUUAAAAGUACUCAAUGACUGGACAGAGAUGUCUUUUAAUGACCUCAUUACUGAAGGAACAGAACAGGCUUCAAAACAACAGAAGCAGACAUUCAUUUGUUCUAUGGAUGGCUGCAUUAAAGAGUUCAAGAACCAGAUUAGUCUUGAUCAACACCUCCUUCAAGGCAGCUGUGAAUAUAAGCUAGAGGAAGGCCCAUUAAAAGAUCAGGCAAAAGUUCUAUAUGCCCAAAAGCUGUCAAAUAAUGUACAUCAUUGUCCUGAUAUGCAAGCAGUCUUACUAGAAAAUGCAUUUACUACAGACUUGAGUGCCAAAGAAAUGUGAUGGGCAUUGAAAGUGAAAAAGAAAAAGAUUUUCUUUAGCAUCAAACAGAAAGAAUUCAUGACGGAUUUAUUUUAUUUAUCUUGAAAGGAUGCAAGAAGCAGCCAUAUUGGAUUCAACGACAUUAUAUUUUCCCAAUAAACAGGCGAAAUAGAAAA